UAAACUCCUGUUGUUGAGGAAGAUAAUGACGGUACUCAACAAGGAAGUGACGGCUAACUACGUGCCAGCAGCCGCGGUAAAACGUAGGUCACAAGCGUUGUCCGGAAUUACUGGGUGUAAAGGGAGCGCAGGCGGGAAGACAAGUUGGAAGUGAAAUCCAUGGGCUCAACCCAUGAACUGCUUUCAAAACUGUUUUUCUUGAGUAGUGCAGAGGUAGGCGGAAUUCCCGGUGUAGCGGUGGAAUGCGUAGAUAUCGGGAGGAACACCAGUGGCGAAGGCGGCCUACUGGGCACCAACUGACGCUGAGGCUCGAAAGUGUGGGUAGCAAACAGGAUUAGAUACCCUGGUAGUCCACACCGUAAACGAUGAUUACUAGGUGUUGGAGGAUUGACCCCUUCAGUGCCGCAGUUAACACAAUAAGUAAUCCACCUGGGGAGUACGACCGCAAGGUUGAAACUCAAAGGAAUUGACGGGGGCCCGCACAAGCAGUGGAGUAUGUGGUUUAAUUCGACGCAACGCGAAGAACCUUACCAAGUCUUGACAUCCUGCGACGGACAUAGAAAUAUGUCUUUCCUUCGGGACGCAGAGACAGGUGGUGCAUGGUUGUCGUCAGCUCGUGUCGUGAGAUGUUGGGUUAAGUCCCGCAACGAGCGCAACCCUUAUGGUCAGUUACUACGCAAGAGGACUCUGGCCGGACUGCG
rnacentral:rRNA from 1 species